rnacentral:rRNA from 1 species
CACGUAGGGCGCAAGCGUUGUCCGGAAUUAUUGGGCGUAAAGAGCUCGUAGGUGGUUUGUUACGUCUGCUGUGAAAACCUCGGGCUUAACUCGGGGCUUGCUUUCGAUACGGGCAGACUGGAGGUAUGCAGGGGAGAACGGAAUUCCUGGUGUAGCGGUGAAAUGCGCAGAUAUCGGGAGGAACACCAGAGGCGAAGGCGGCUUUCUGGCCUGUAACUGACGCUGAGGCGCGAAGGCUGGGGUAGCGAACAGG